UACGUAGGGCGCAAGCGUUGUCCGGAAUUAUUGGGCGUAAAGAGCUCGUAGGCGGUUUGUCGCGUCUGCUGUGAAAAACCUGAGGCUCAACCUCGGGCUUGCAGUGGGUACGGGCAGACUAGAGUGCGGUAGGGGGUGACUGGAAUUCCUGGUGUAGCGGUGGAAUGCGCAGAUAUCAGGAGGAACACCGAUGGCGAAGGCAGAUCUCUGGGCCGUAACUGACGCU
rnacentral:rRNA from 1 species